rnacentral:lncRNA from 1 species
GAUAGAGGGCGCUCCUAAUACACUUUGCAGUAGACUUUCCAGCUACAAAAAAAUGCCGCCAUUUUGGAAUCAUCAUUGACCAAUAAGCAACGUUUUGAAAGAAAAGAUCUUGCCUGCAGUUUCCUAGCUCUCGUAUUAUCCAAGCCUAGUACAGUAAAUACGUAUUAAUAAUAUUUAUAUUAUGAUUUCCUAGGGUUUCUAUUGUAGAAAUUUACAGGACUCGAAGAUGAAAUCCACGUCCUCUUUGGGUUUCCCUGCUCCAAAUGUCAUCGUCAUAUCAAUUGACAAUUUAAUUUUUUUUAAAUCUCGCCUAAUAUAAAGACACAGUCAAAUUUCGCUACAAUGGAAGAAUUAUACUCUGAGAUGCGGGAUAUUCAUUUCACAGAGGAGGAACGGAGAUGCGCUGUAGUUAUGUGUCUAAUUAAUAAUCAAGGACAAAUCAGCAACCGUGACAUCUGUAACACCACUGGGCUAACAAUGCGCUACAUCCAGGAAACCAGGAAGAAACUGGAGGAUUCAAAGAACCCCCGGAUGACUAUUUCGAGGUCGCGAAGGUCACAAGAAGACUCCAGGAAGGUCAGGGACGCAGAGUUCAUCGAGAAGGUGCGCUCCAUCAUUGAGCGGUCCCCGACGAGGUCCUUCGUUUCAAUUGGAAAGGAACUUGAAGUCAGUGACAAGACGAUUAGGGCAUGUGUUAACGAGGAUCUCAAAUCCCAGUCUUACAAGAAGAGGAAAACUCCUACCACCCCGUGAACAAGGACCAGCGGCCUGAACGAAUCCAUUAUGUCUGGGGUACCUCGAGGCACACACUAAUAGACCGUUCCCACAUAACUAUGGCAAGUCUGCCAUCAAGGCCUGCUUCCGGUUCAGAGGCCGUAUCGAGACUGAGUGCAAUUAUAGCGAUUGUUUUUUGUAAAUAGGAGAGAGGGUGCGGAUUUCAUCUUCGAGCCCUAUAUAUACCUAACGGUGCAAAUGGUUAAGUAAGAAUGUGAUGUCCAAAAUAUUGUGGGGCCAAUGGGAUUCAAACAAACACAUUUGAGGUCAUGGCUUAUUAUUGCCACUGAGUUGUAUGGAAGGGGGGCUUAAAAAGGUCGAUAGAAAGCAGGGUACUUAUUUAACGACUAUAAUUUAGAAAGUAUGUUAAGGUAUAACAUUCCUUACCCACGUACAAAAUGGAAAAGUGGAGGUAAUGGAUCCGGAUUUUGAUUUCCUCUCUCUCUCUCUUGGGGGACACUUCUCCUCGAAUGAUGAUAAUUUAUAAAGUACUCAAAUUACAAUGUUAUACUUCGACGAUUUAUGUUUCAAAUAUUAAGGUAUAUUUACACACA